CUUUCUUCAUGGUGGCCGCCAUCUUGAGGACUGAACUAUUUCCCUUCCUCGGUGGGGAGGUUUCUUCCCCACCUUCCUAUCUUUCCCACCAGCUUCGACUUUUCUUUGUGUUCUUCUUAGAGACAUAUUAAAGCGGAAGUUGGUACGGUCCACAGUCUAGCGUCGAAAGGGACGAAGAAGGCUCGUCGUCUGGCUGAAAGAAGGAGGCGGGGAUGGAGGGGUGCAAUGCGAGGCUAUAAACGGUAGGUGGCGCAGUGGGCCUUCUAAUGUUAAUGGUAGCGGUAGCGAAUAUGUUGGAUAAUAAAGAGAGAUUAAGGAGAAGCCUAUUAAACAUCAACAUUCAAUACACAGUAAUGCUAUGUAGUAAUUACUGUAUUUACGAAUUUAGCACCAAAAUAUCACGAUAUAUUGAAAACAUUGACUACAAAAAUGCAUUGGAUAAUCCAGAACGUUGGAUAAGCGAAUGUUGGAUAAGUGAGACUCUAUCGUAUAUGAUAUUAUGUUGUAAUAUAAUAUAGUAUAUAUACUACAACUUAUGCUAUAGAACAGUCUAUAUAUAUAAAAGAGUGAUUGCAUCAGGGCAGCGGACAAAACAACAAAACUACAGGCGCCCCAACCUCGAAAUUUGACAACACAACCCAUCAUCCACGGCUCUAGGUUGAUACAACAAAAAGAAAAGAAAAAUAAAGUCUUAAUUAGAGUGAGAGGAAAAAUUGUUUUUAUCCAAUUGCUGCCAGUUACAAGGCUAAGUUCCGCCCACUUGG